rnacentral:sRNA from 1 species
UACUACACACUAUCGUGUGGGUGAGACCCUGCGUUCAGGUUCGAGCCGAGCGAAGCGAGACAGCAACGCGCCAGCGUUGACCCGAAGGGCGAGGCCAGUGGCCGAGUCAUCCCGCACGACCCACCA